UACGUAGGGGGCAAGCGUUGUCCGGAAUUAUUGGGCGUAAAGAGCGUGUAGGCGGUCCGGUAAGUCAGCUGUGAAAGUCAAGGGCUCAACCCUUGAAUGCCGGUUGAUACUGUCGGGCUAGAGUCCGGAAGAGGCGAGUGGAAUUCCCGGUGUAGCGGUGAAAUGCGCAGAUAUCGGGAGGAACACCAAUGGCGAAGGCAGCUCGCUGGGACGGUACUGACGCUGAGACGCGAAAGCUAGGGGAGCGAACAGG
rnacentral:rRNA from 1 species